AUUGUGGAUUGGACAUCUUUACUUCUAAUUAUCUAUGUUCCUUGCAAUGACAAAAUCUAAUCUUUUUUUCUCUUAUGCUUUGCAGAUUUUUACCAACCACUUGAAAAAGAUGACCUUGAGAACAGAGUCUUACAAUCGACGUAAUGCUAUCCUCUGAAUUGCCCGUUGUAUGUAAAAUUGAAUGGGAGUUUCACAAACUUGAGGUGUGCGUUUGGAUUUUCGGUAACCACAAAACUUAAAAUCACUUCUUCAUUUAGUUCAAGAGAGUUCUAUUAGUAAGAGUAUUCGACAGCAAUGAAACCUAAGCGAGAUGUAAAAAUGUAACAUGACUGUGAAUCUGUGAUAAUAUAUGUAAGCUAAAUUUCUGUGAAACUAUUUGCACGUACAGUAUUAUUCUUGCAGCCAAAAGAAGCUCGAAUGAAAGCAGUAGAGGUAUUCUUCGCUGUCUCUCAGCUUUGCGACGCUUCCGCUUUGCCUGGCUCAAUUUUCUAUUGGUCUUGGCGUAAGAUUUAUCCAGCUCAUUCUCUGACUUAAAUCACUUUUAUGUUUCUAUGGAUUAUAAUAUGUUGAUUGUAGCAUUAAGUUGAAGUAAGGAGCUUCCCAGAGUGAGUCAAUAAAGGCUCUUGCAUCAAACAAUGAAGGAACUUACAUAGUUAGUAGUGGAUCCUUUGGAGAUAUUUAUAAUAAGAUUACAAUUACAAUUGGGAAGUUGCUUAAGUAGCCUUUUGUCAUGAGUAGCAUUAUAGAAAAGUGGAGGUACAAUCUCAUCUUCGGAAACCUAAUAUACGUUGACGUUAUGGUUAUUACUAUGAUCAAAGUUUUGGAUAUUUUAACAAAUGGACGAGGAAAGACAGAAAAAGGAGAAGAGAAGGAAGUUCUUGAGUGGCCUUUCACUUCAGAGACUCAAGAAGACAAGAACGAUUCGAGAAACCAUUUUGGUAGCCUCACGGGUAAACAUGAAUAAAAAGAAGCACGGUACACCGUUUAAGCGAUUUGCAAUGGAUGAAAGUGAUGGAGAAUGAAGAAGAAGAUGCUUCAAAAUUCUAAGAAACGAAAGAGAAGGGACACAAAGACACCAACAAGUAAUGGGUCAAAGGCAGAGGCAAAGACGAAGAGUCGAGUGGAAGCAAAAAGGAAAAAUAAGAAGAAGAGGAAGAGACAAAGGAGGAGAGUGGGAAAGAGAGUGAAGAAGAAAAUGAGAAGCCAUUACAUAGUUGGAAAACUUAUAAGAAUAAACGGUCCAGAUACUCUUUUAUGACUUCUUCACCUAACUCUAGAGGUAAAGGUAGUUCAAACGGAAGUAAACGAAACUGAGAAUAAGGUUUCUUCUACAAGUAUUAGGCAUUUAAGUUGGUCUACAAAUUUUAAGCAUUAAGCCAUUUCUCAUAAAUAUGUGUCUGUUUUUGUUUUUAAUUUAGACCUUGGCAAAUUUAUAGAUUUUUUUAGAGUUUAGAGCUUAAAACGAUGAGAGGGGGCAAA